rnacentral:rRNA from 1 species
AACGUCGUGAGACAGUUUGGUCCCUAUCUGCCGUGGGCGUCGAGAUUUGAGAGGAGUUGUCCCUAGUACGAGAGGACCGGGAUGAACAUACCUCUGGUGCACCUGUCGUCACGCCAGUGGCGCAGCAGGGUAGCUAUGUAUGGACGGGAUAACCGCUGAAAGCAUCUAAGCGGGAAGCCUCCCUCAAGAUAAGAUCUCAUCGAGUCGUGGAAGACCACCACGUUGAUAGGCCGGGUGUGUAAGUGCAGUAAUGCAUUCAGCUAACCGGUCCUAAUUACUCUGGUCACGCCUGA